AGAGAUAUGAUAGAGUCCUUGUCUAGGUCAAACACCUAGUCAAGGCUUAUCCAAACAUGGCAAGUUAAAGGACGCCCAACUCUUGAGCACCUCCUUCAUAUUUUUGUGCAUGGAUUACCAGAAAAGGGUGUACAAUGUAUACCCUAAAAGCCAUAAAAUUUUUAAAAAAAAAUUGGAUAAAUUUGGUGCAAAAUUGAAAGAGUUUUGGAUUUCUAAAACUCUAUCUCAUAGAAUUCGAAAUCCAAAAUUAUUCCUUUUAGAUUUGAUCCAAAACACCUUUCAUGUAAGAAAGAAGAGAGGAGACCUUUUGUGAAUGUGGGA
rnacentral:lncRNA from 1 species